AUUGAACGCUGGCGGCAGGCCUAACACAUGCAAGUCGAGCGGAUGAAGGGAGCUUGCUCCUGGAUUCAGCGGCGGACGGGUGAGUAAUGCCUAGGAAUCUGCCUGGUAGUGGGGGAUAACGUCCGGAAACGGGCGCUAAUACCGCAUACGUCCUGAGGGAGAAAGUGGGGGAUCUUCGGACCUCACGCUAUCAGAUGAGCCUAGGUCGGAUUAGCUAGUUGGUGGGGUAAAGGCCUACCAAGGCGACGAUCCGUAACUGGUCUGAGAGGAUGAUCAGUCACACUGGAACUGAGACACGGUCCAGACUCCUACGGGAGGCAGCAGUGGGGAAUAUUGGACAAAGGGCGAAAGCCUGAUCCAGCCAUGCCGCGUGUGUGAAGAAGGUCUUCGGAUUGUAAAGCACUUUAAGUUGGGAGGAAGGGCAGUAAGUUAAUACCUUGCUAUUUUGACGUUACCAACAGAAUAAGCACCGGCUAACUUCGUG
rnacentral:rRNA from 1 species